CUUGAACUUAGAAGAGUUGGCAUGUUUCAUGCUGUUGUCCAUAUUUCAGCAGAGGCAGAAGUCACUACCGUAUGUGGUUCAUGGAGUGCUUUGGGAUCCUUCAGGAUGAGAGACAUGUAGGUGUCAAGCUCCUUCUGCUGCUCUUUUUGAAGUCCCCAGUGGAGAUGCUGAGGAGCUGGCUCUUCUGGGCACUGCUGAAGCUACCUUAGGAAGAUUCCCAGGAUGUUCUCAAUGGUUUACUCAGUGCCAGGUGUACUGAACUGUGUGUGAGCCCUCAGCCCGCCAGGAAAGGCGUCAUCCAAGGAGCACAGCAGGAGGCUGACUCCCAGCCCUUUCUGUUUUUAUCUUCUUUCAAAGACAUCUGCUUCUCCGACCUAUUUCAGAACAUGGAAAUUCACAAGAGCACCUUGGGGAUUCAGCCAAUAUUAGAAAAAGAGUUUUG
ensembl:lncRNA